UAAACACUCCAUUUCUUUCUCAUCAACAACAAACAAAACAAAUCCUAAUACAUUGACCAGCUGAAUCCAGCAAUGCUCCAGCUCACCAAUGUCUAUUUUUGACAAACGUACAGUCGACCCUUUGCUUUGUUCAGGCAUGGUUCGUCCAUUUCGGGUAAAUAAUUCAAUGACCAUUGUCUUCUACUUCAAACGGUAACACUAUUUUUCCCAUUUUUCUUAUUCAUUUUUCUGAAUUCGAAUUUGAAAGAGAAUUCAAAAAAUGAAUUUCAACUUCAACAGUUGUCCCACAUCGAUUUUAGACUCCAAAAAUCCUAGAAUUGGCCUUCUAUAAUAGAGGCCAUUCUCUUCAUUUACAGAACAGGUUUUGAACACCUCAAGUUCAACAUAUUUAUAUUACUUGGCUGAAAACAAGAAAUUUUCUCUUGUAAAUCGAGUUCUUAAAUUAUCGGAACGAGUAAAAAAUAAUUUUGUCCUAGUUCGAGUUAGUUGUCGUGUUGGUUCGAAGGUGAUAGACUCAACUCGUUGCCCCUGUCACUGCUCGACAAACGACAAACAGUGCAGCAUUUGAGGCUUAAGCCUGUUGCUAUACUUGUCGUAUACUUGAGCUAAGUUGCUGCAGCCUUUUGGCCACUUUUCUGCUAAGUUUUGGACCAUGAGCUGCUGCAUUUGAGUAGAUUAUCACUGCUGCACUCGAGGCCACCAUCAUGGAUUUUUCGGGCCGUUUGUCGCUGUGUCUUUAAGUUCAUAGCUGUACUUUGAAGCCAACAACUACUGCAUUUCUUUAAGUGGAUGGUUCACUUUGAUAAAUGGUUUAACACAGUUGAUAUGCUAAGUAGCUGUUGCCUUCUUGAAAUAUUAUUGCUAUCUUACUGUUUUUUGUUGCGACUAUUCAUUGCUACUGCUUGUUGCUGCAAUGUUGCUUGUUGUGGCUGCUCAUGAUUGAGCUACUGCCUUGUUAAAAAAUGACGCCAAAAAAGCUGCUAUACGCUGCUGUUCUGCUUUUAUGAAAAUGAAUAGAUUGCUACCAAAGUCCCACUGAUUUGAAUAUGAUACUAUACUUGGGCCGAUGAGAACAUUUAAUUUGAGGCCAUGCCUUGUCCGGAAAUGUUAUCCCUCGGUUUGGGCGAUGAUGACCUCAUAAUAAUAUCAUGAGGUAGGAACCAACAUGCGUUUGGUGAGGAACCUAGAAUCGCCACUAUUUUACAGCCAAGACAUGUUUCGGGUUUCUUCAUCACAUUUGGAAACACGAGUCUGAGCCUCCGUAAUCAAAGCUCUCAAAGUUUGAUAUGAGUCCCAGGGAUAUUAUUUUUAUGUUCAUGAAUGUCAUCCUAUGGGGUGGCGUACUAUUUUGACUAACUACUUUUCUUUUCAUUGUGCGAGGUACAAAUAAAACAAGUAUGGAGAGCAAAGCUCAAAGACGAAGUAAAAGGAUCGGAUGCUUAGAGCUUCGGACGAAGAACUAGAAGAGCAUGGAUUGCUAAGGAUUUGGGCCCAAGGCCGAAAAAGCUAAAUCUUCUUCCCCUUUCCUUUAUUUUUGUAUAAAUAUGCUAAUUUUAUAUGUUUGCAUUCAUUUUGUAUGAACAUGUAUACUUGCAAAUACCUGUGUAUUAUUGAAACCCUUUAGAACUUAGUUGAAACCUUGCAUAAGAAAAAUAA